GACAUUUAUUAGAUCUAGAUUAGUUAGACUUCUAAGUCUAGGAUCUACCUUUUGGCCUUUGUACUUUGUUAGCUGAUUGACUCUUGGAUAGUUUCUAUCCAUGACUUUUGUAUUUUGAGUUGACUUAUGUGUAUUGGGACACCUUUUGUAUUCAGUCACUUUUGAAUAUAUAUAUAUGUGUGCUUUGACUUUCAAUGAAUAUCUAUGAAUGUGAU
rnacentral:lncRNA from 1 species